AUGCACGUGACAUAUGGCCGGUGCCUGUCUGAGUGCAGCCCUUGGCGUUUGCACACGGAGGAGUCAGUCAGGAAUCAGGCAAAACCUACACUGUUGAGGACUCAGCAACCGGCCAAGGUGUGUGGGGGGAAGGAAGGAAGAUGGCGCCUCUCUGGCUGUCCACAGGAGGAAGGAAGCAAGGAAGCAAUCAUUCUGCACGACCGGUUAGCCAUGGAUGGGAAAUCUCUCUCCAGCUUUUCCCCUCCGCCCGAGCAACAGAAAGGCGAGGCCUUUUCCCCCAAUGGCCACCGGGGGGAAGAUUCUCUCUGCCUGCAUUAG
rnacentral:rRNA from 1 species